rnacentral:rRNA from 1 species
CGGUAAUUCCAGCUCCAAUAGCGUAUACUAAAGUUGUUGCAGUUAAAAAGCUCGUAGUUGGAUUUCUGCGGGGACGGAGCGGCCGGUCGCAACUUGCGACUCGAGCUAGCGCUUUCCCCGCAUCCUGCCGCGAACCGUGCUACCAUUAGUUUGGUGGCGCUGGGGAUCGGCUCGAUUACUUUGAGAAAAAUAGAGUGUUCAAAGCAGGCCACACGCCUUGAAUAAGUUAGCAUGGAAUAAUGACUAAGGACUUUGGUUCUUUUCGUUGGUGUUCGGGACUGAAGUAAUGAUUGAUAGGGACAGUUGGGGCGGUCCGUAUUCCAAAGCGAGAGGUGAAAUUCUUAGACCUUCGGAAGACGAACAGCUGCGAAAGCGUUCCGCAAGGAUGUUCCCUUUGAUCAAGAACGAAAGUUGGGGGAUCGAAGACGAUCAGAUACCGUCGUAGUCUCAACUAUAAACUAUACCAGCUAGGGAUCGGCCAACGUUUAAUUAUUCGACUUGGUCGGCACCUUAUGAGAAAUCAAAGCAUCUGGGUUCCGGGGGGGAGUAUGGUCGCAAGGCUGAAACUUAAAGGAAUUGACGGAAGGGCACCACCAGCCGUGGAGCCUGUGGCUUAAUUUGACUCAACACGGGAAAACUUACCAGGUCCAGACAUAGGAAGGAUUGACAGAUUGAUAGCUCUUUCUUGAUUCUGUGGGUGGUGGUGCAUGGCCGUUUUUAGUUGGUGGAGUGAUUUGUCUGCUUAAUUGCGUUAACGAACGAGACCCCAGCCUGCUAAAUAGCGCGGCCGAGCUUUGCUCGGUGCGAGCUUCUUAGAGGGACCAUGAUGCGCGAUAGCACAAGGAAGUUUGGGGCAACAACAGGUCUGUGAUGCCCUUAGAUGUUCUGGGCCGCACACGGGCUACACUGGCGCCUGCAACGAGCAUAUCAGCUGGCCCGAGAGGGUCUUGGCUAAUCUUUUGAACCGGCGCCGUGCUUGGGAUUGACCUUUGCAAUUGUUGGUCAUGCAACGAGGAAUGCCUUGUAAACGCGAGUCAUCAGCUCGCAUUGAAUACGUCCCUGCCCUUUGUACACACCGCCCGUCGCUCCUACCGAUGAAUGUUCCGAUGAAAUUUUCGGAGAGCGCCAGAGAACGGGGCUCUGCCUUGCAGAUCUGGAGGCUCAAAGUCACUUAAAUCUGAACAUUUCGAGGAAGGAGAAGUCGUAACAAGGUAACC